GAUGAAAACGCAGCGAAAUGCGAUAAGUAGUGUGAAUUGCAGAAUUCAGUGAAUCAUCGAAUCUUUGAACGCACAUUGCGCCCCUUGGUAUUCCAUGGGGCAUGCCUGUUCGAGCGUCAUUUGUACCCUCAAGCUAAGCUUGGUGUUGGGUGUUUGUCCACUCCCUCGUGUUUGGACUCGCAUUAAAACAAUUGGCAGCCAGUGUUUUGGUAUUGAAGCGCAGCACAAUUUGCGAUUCUAGCCUAGAAUACUAGCAUCCAUCAAGUCAUUUUUAACGCUUGACCUCGGAUCAGGUAGGGAUACCCGCUGAACUUAAACAUAUCAAUAAGCGGAGGA
rnacentral:misc_RNA from 1 species